rnacentral:misc_RNA from 1 species
UAAUAAGUGUUUUAUGGCACUUUUUAAAUCCAUAUCCACCUUGUGUGCAACGUCAGUCGAUCUUCUUCAUGGAGAUCGACCAAACAUCAACCUUUAUCUUUUAACUCUUUGUCUGAAAAAUAUUAUGAAUAACAAUUCAAAAUA